rnacentral:rRNA from 1 species
CAGCAGCCGCGGUAAUACGGAGGGUGCAAGCGUUAAUCGGAAUUACUGGGCGUAAAGCGCACGCAGGCGGUCUGUCAAGUCGGAUGUGAAAUCCCUGAGCUUAACUUAGGAAUUGCAUUCGAUACUGGGAAGCUAGAGUAUGGGAGAGGAUGGUAGAAUUCCAGGUGUAGCGGUGAAAUGCGUAGAGAUCUGGAGGAAUACCGAUGGCGAAGGCAGCCAUCUGGCCUAAUACUGACGCUGAGGUACGAAAGCAUGGGGAGCAAACAGGAUUAGAUACCCGCGUAGUCCCUGUCUCUUAUAC